rnacentral:rRNA from 1 species
AUUGAACGCUGGCGGCAGGCCUAACACAUGCAAGUCGAACGAUUGGCGGACGGGUGAGUACUGUCUGGGAAACUGCCUGAUUGAGAGGGAUAACUACUGGAAACUGUAGCUAAUACCGCCUACCAUCCUAUGUUCCCCGAUGGGCUUAGCUAGUAGGUGGGGUAACGGCUCACCUAGGCGACGAUCCCUAGCUGGUCUGAGAGGAUGACCAGACACACUGGAACUGAGCAACGGUCCAGACUCCUACGGUAGGCAGCAGUUGGGAAUAUUGCACAAUGGGCGCAAGCCUGAUGCAGCCAUGCCGCGUGUAUGAAGAAGGCCUUCGGGUUGUAAAGUACUUUCAGCGGGGAGGCGUUACCCGCAGAAGAAGCACCGGCUAACUCCGUGCCAGCAGCCGCGGUAAUUC